rfam:Dipodomys ordii contig_22052, whole genome shotgun sequence.
GGUGGCUCAAUGGUAGAGCACUUGCCUUGUACUCAUGAGGCCCUGGGUUCGAUUCCUCAGCACCA